rnacentral:snRNA from 1 species
GGAUGUGAGGGCGGUCUGGCUGCGACAUCUGUCACCCCAUUGAUCGCCAGGGUUGAUUCGGCUGAUCUGGCUGGCUAGGCGGCUGUCCCCUUCCUGCCUCACCGCUCCAUGUGCGUCCCUCCCGAAGCUGCGCGCUCGAAGAGGACAGCCUUCCCCAAAUAGAGACGGACCGGUCUUCGGUCGAGGGUGUACGAGUAGCUGCGCUCCCCUGCUAGAACCUCCAAACAAGCUCUCAAGGAAAUGUGGAGGUCUCCCAAGAGUUGGGCUGGGAGAGCUGACCCCCUCCCCCACCCCCACGGUGGCUGCUUCCCCAGGCCUGCCAGUCAGU